rnacentral:tRNA from 1 species
AAGGGUAUAGUUCAGUGGGGAGAGCGCAUGCUUAGCAUGCUUAGCAUGCAGGCGGUCCUGGGUUCAAUCCCCAGUACCUCCA